UCCCAAAGGGGAAGAUAUUUAUCAUCAACCCCAAGGGGGAGGUUGCCAUUAGUCACUAUAUAGAUGUCCGAUCAUACACAUCAUUGCACACUCUUGUAAACGACAUGUUCCCUCCGACCUCAUUGGUCGAGCAGGAAGACUUCAACUCCUGGAACUUUUGGAAAGUGCCAUUGCCAGAUGUAGAUUUGUAGUUGAUACGUUAUUCAGAAUAGUUCCGUCUUACUAACAGGAUGACAAUCAGGAGCUUGGAUUUUCCUGAAAAUCUGGUUUUAUUCUUGAUAUUGAUUCAGUUGGAUCCAGUUUCCCCCACACAAAAUGAUGCUGCUGGCUCUCUCUCAUUCAUAUUUAAUAGUCUUGAUGAUGGUCCAUUUUAUAAGAAGCACUUUUGUCUUGUUGCUAGAAGUCUGUAGGUAAUUCAUCUUGUACUCUGGGAAAUUUUGAAUGUAUUUCAUAUGUACCACAGAGCAAUCAUUCCAAUAAAGGUUCUCAUGUUUCAACUGUCA